rnacentral:rRNA from 1 species
GAUGAACGCUGGCGGCGCGCCUAAUACAUGCCAGUCGAGCGAACAGACGAGGAGCUUGCUCCUCUGACGUUAGCGGCGGACGGGUGAGUAACACGUGGAUAACCUACCUAUAAGACUGGGAUAACUUCGGGAAACCGGAGCUAAUACCGGAUAAUAUAUUGAACCGCAUGGUUCAAUAGUGAAAGACGGUUUUGCUGUCACUUAUAGAUGGAUCCGCGCCGCAUUAGCUAGUUGGUAAGGUAACGGCUUACCAAGGCAACGAUGCGUAGCCGGCCUGAGAGGGUGAUCGGCCACACUGGAACUGAGACACGGUCCAGACUCCUACGGGAGGCAGCAGUAGGGAAUCUUCCGCAAUGGGCGAAAGCUUGACGGAGCAACGCCGCGUGAGUGAUGAAGGUCUUCGGAUCGUAAAACUCUGUUAUUAGGGAAGAACAAAUGUGUAAGUAACUAUGCACGUCUUGACGGUACCUAAUCAGAAAGCCACGGCUAACUACGUG